GAGAGAGAGCGUUCCCAUUAGCUAUACUUGGUAUUUCCUCAACUGGUCUCAACAUGGCUGCCGGGUCACAUACAUAAGUGUUAUUGUGGCAUAAUCAGUCAUGUGUAGGUUAUAAAACAGAACCAUUUCUUGGGUGUAAUGCAGGUGAAGAGAGUUUGUCAUGUUCAUAUGUGUUUAUAAGAAGAAAGAGUUCAAUGUGGUUAUAAUUUAGGGUACAGUGUUAUUUAUUGCCAGCGUCAUUAUUAGGGUGUUGUGCCAGUAGAUCGCCAGUAGGUGUCAGUGUCGCUACAGAAGCCGUGUAUGUGAAGGGAGCGUCACAGGGAAGUCUCGCGUGAAUACGUGAGAUAAUAAGAAUCUCUGUGUACAAGAUAGAAGCUGAAUACACUGUGUAGCAAUGUCAACCUAAAGCAUUAUUUUACAUUUUGCAGCCACUAAACCUAGAGAUGGAAGGAGACAAGGCAAUAUGGGAAACAUUGCACUGGUCUGCAAAAGAUUUAAAGACAUUGUCUCAACUGAAGAAUUCCGGCAGAAGGCACAUUAUCGAUGGCUGAACAGUAGGUGUUGUGGAUCUUAACAAAGUCUCAAACAAAUAUCAAGAAGACUUGAAGAAAAUGUACACCGUUAGUCCAUGUACAGCCUGUCGGACACUAUACAAAUCAUUUCCUGGAGGUUUUAAAGCCUUUUAUCUGCUGCAUAACUGAUGCAUCAGACAAGGGAAGAGAGGACAGCUGCAAGGGAUUUAUAGCACUCCACCUCAUCCGGGUUUCUGCAGCCAAACCUGUGCUCUGACAGCGGACACAAAUGACAUAAAUAAAAACAGGCUAUAGAUGAAACAUAAA